GUGUGCACCAUGGCCUGGACUCCUCUCCUCCUCGUGCUCCUCUCUCACUGCACAGGUUCCCUCUCCCAGGCUGUGCUGACUCAGCCACCCUCCCUCUCUGCAUCUCUGGGAGCCACAGCCAGACUCACCUGCACCUUCAGCAGUGGCUUCAGUGUUGGCAGCUAUACCAUGUACUGGUACCAGCAGAAGCCAGGGAGCCCUCCCCAUUAUCUGCUGUAUUACUAUUCAGACUCAAGCAAGCACCAGGGUUCCGGAGUCCCCAGCCGCUUCUCUGGAUCCAAAGACACCUCAGCCAAUGCAGGGCUCCUGCUCAUCUCUGGGCUGCAGCCUGAGGACGAGGCCGACUAUUACUGUGCGAUCUGGCACAGCUGUGGAGGCAGAGUCAACAUGGACAGCGCUGCUCCCAGGAAAGGGAGAGGAGGAGGGGUGGAGCAGGAAGAGCUCUGA